rnacentral:rRNA from 1 species
CCUACGGGUGGCAGCAGUCGAGAAUCAUUCACAAUGGGGGAAACCCUGAUGGUGCGACGCCGCGUGGGGGAAUGAAGGUCUUCGGAUUGUAAACCCCUGUCAUGUGGGAGCAAAUUAAAAAGAUAGUACCACAAGAGGAAGAGACGGCAAACUCUGUGCCCGCAGCCGCGGUAAUACAGAGGUCUCAAGCGUUGUUCGGAAUCACUGGGCGUAAAGCGUGCGUAGGCUGUUGCGUAAGUCGUGUGUGAAAGGGGCGGGCUCAACCCGCGGACGGCACAUGAUACUGCGAGACUAGAGUAAUGGAGGGGGAACCGGAAUGCUCGGUGUAGCAGUGAAAUGCGUAGAUAUCGAGAGGAACACUCGUGGCGAAGGCGGGUUCCUGGACAUUAACUGACGCUGAGGCACGAAGGCCAGGGGAGCGAAAGGGAUUAGAUACCCCUGUAGUC